UACGAAGGGGGCUAGCGUUGUUCGGAAUUACUGGGCGUAAAGCGUGCGCAGGCGGCUUCUCAAGUCAGGGGUGAAAGCCCAGAGCUCAACUCUGGAACUGCCUUUGAGACUGAAGAGCUUGAGUACGGGAGAGGUGAGUGGAAUUCCCAGUGAUAGAGGUGAAAUUCGUAGAUAUUGGGAAGAACACCGGUGGCGAAGGCGGCUCACUGGCCCGUAACUGACGCUCAUGCACGACAGCGUGGGGAUCAAACAGGG
rnacentral:rRNA from 1 species